GACAGAGGGGGCAAGCGUUGCUCGGAAUUACUGGGCGUAAAGGGCGCGUAGGCGGGAUGGCAAGUCGGUCGUGAAAUCCUUCGGCUCAACCGAAGAACGUCGGCCGAUACUGCCGUUCUUGAGGGAUGCAGAGGAGAUUGGAAUUCCCGGUGUAGCGGUGAAAUGUGUAGAGAUCGGGAAGAACAUCGGUGGCGAAGGCGGUCUGCUGGGCCGUUGCUGACGCUGAGGCGCGACAGCGUGGGGAGCAAACAGG
rnacentral:rRNA from 1 species